rnacentral:rRNA from 1 species
AGCCUGAUGCAGCCUGCCGCGUGAGUGAGAAGGCCUUCGGGUUGUAAAGCUCUUUCGGCAGGGACGAAACGGUUCGCGCUAAUACCGGCGGUUCUUGACGGUACCUACGGAAGAAGCACCGGCUAAAUACGUGCCAGCAGCCGCGGUAAUACGUAGGGUGCGAGCGUUAAUCGGAAUUACUGGGCGUAAAGCGUGCGCAGGCGGUUUCAUAAGCUGGAGG